UCCUACGGGAGGCAGCAGUGGGGAAUUUUGCGCAAUGGGGGAAACCCUGACGCAGCAACGCCGCGUGGAGGAUGAAGUCCCUUGGGACGUAAACUCCUUUCGAUCGGGACGAAUCAUGACGGUACCGGAAGAAGAAGCCCCGGCUAACUCCGUGCCAGCAGCCGCGGUA
rnacentral:rRNA from 1 species